AUACGCAUGACGGAGAGGAUCCCACAUCAGCCAACAUGGCAUCGUUUAUUUGAUAGCUUAUAUUUUGAAGUCCGACACGCAUAUAAAUAUACGAUUCAGACUUGUGAGACUAUUGUUAUACAUAUUUCAUAUUGGGCCUCAUUGGACUUGGCCCAUUUCUUUAACCCGUUUGGUCCACUUCCUUUUCUAUACAUAUGGGUUCAUUUCACAACAUAAGGUACGUUCUAAAACUCGAACCAAACCCCCUCUCCUGUCUCAGCACUCUUUAUUUUCUUUUCGCCCGGUCGUUGAUUUGAUCGUUGGAGUGCAAAUGAUUGCCGAACAUUUUUCUCGACUGGCGGCCUUUGCAUCAUAACGGGGUGUUCCGUGCAGGUUUGAAGAGAACGAGGCAUGGAUUCUAUUGCUGCAUUUUUUGAGGUUAACAGAUUGACGCCAUCCGUAAAAAACAAUACUAACCACGUUACACCAUGUACAAAAAGCCACCAGAAAAUAUGGUUUUUCGGGGCAGUUUCUCUACUGAAAAAAUGGCAAAGACAGCAUCAACCAAGACAAGAAGAAAAAGACAGCGACCGAAAAAGAAAAUUUUUCCCAGCAGUUCCUCUACCACCAAAAAAUUCGAGGAGGUCGGUCACCGAGGAGAAACAAGAAUGGCAGACAACAAGAAGGAACACAGAGUCAAGAAAACUGGAAUUAAUUCAACAAAAAUCCACUAGUGGGUUUAUUCAAUAAUGCUCAGUUUACUCACCAUGUUGUCAGCAUUCACCGAUUUUCUUUUUUAGAGCAAAUCAAUACCAAAUGAGACAUAAAUACACAGGAGAGAAAUGAAAAUCAAAGGUGAGUUCUGUCCCCACUUGCUGCCAUUAAAGGCUUACAAACUCCAACAGCAAAUACCGGGGAUACACAGCUUGUCCUCGCCUCCCACAAAGGCUGUUGAGGCAAUGGUAGUUACAAACACCCACAAGAGUUAUUACAUCAUAGAAACAAAUUGCACCAGUUUAAAUCUUCAAUCUUGCACCACCAGCAGAAGCCACCUUCGCCUCGAACUUCUUGUUGAAUUGUUAGUUCUUCCAAAGAAAUAAAAACGCAACUUUGUAUUCAAGAUGCUCGAUCAAAGGCUCGACUCGAAAAUUUUCUCAUUGUAAGGCUAUGUUAACGACCCAUUAUUUUGCUACAAUCUCCGAUGAAGGCUGUUGAGCUACCCUGGACCCGGCAGUCUGUGGUUUACACUCUCG
rnacentral:lncRNA from 1 species